CAUAGGCAUUAGAACAUUUAUUAGGAACAAUUCAGUAAGAGAGAUAAAGAGGCGUUUCCGUUCUACGUUUCCAAGAUGAUGCACACGCGACAUAAAAAACCACCACUUGUGAAACUCCAGCCAAGAAGAGAAAACAUUCCCAGACCAACGUUACAACACAAAAAGAUUCUUUUAGGUGCUCGGUGUCCCUCCUACAGAGCUGCUGGUGGAAGCACCCAAAAGAAACAACUUCUUUGAUUCUGAUGGCACCCACUGAAAAUAAUAGACAUAUUGGGCUACAGCACCACUCUGGCCAUACACCUGAAUUCUAAGAACGUUUAUUUUGUGGAUUUCAUUGAGUGCUGCCUUGAAUAUGAUCCAAUAAAGCGCCCUGCAGCAUCCAUGGAUUCAAAAGAUGGUGAAGACCAAACCCGUGUCGAGUGCUGAAAGAAUUAGAUCAGGUAAGACCACAAGCUUUUGGGAUAGUAUUAUCAGUCUGUUCACCACUGUUGUCCAGACUGAAAUAACUCAACAAUAAUAGGAUGGUUGCCAUGAAACUUUGUCACUUAUGGUCCCGGCGGCGUGGUGGUGCAUUGGUUAGAACUGUCAGUAGUUAGCACUGUUACCUCACAGCAAGAAGGUCGUGGAUUCGAACCCCGGUCGUCCCAGCCUUUCAUGUUCUCCCCAUGUCUGCGUAGGUUCUCUCCGGGUGCUCCGGCUUCCUCCCGCUAUUCAAAGACAUGCAGAGUAGGUUAAUUGGUGGCUCUAAAGUGUGCAUGGUUGUUUGUCUAUGUGAGGCCCUGUGAUGGACUGGUGACCUGUCCAGGGUGUACCCCGCCUUUCGCCCCUGUAUGCAGGAUAAGCGGUUGACGAUGGAUUGAUGGACUCAUGGUCCCCAGAGGAUGAAUCAUAAUGACCUUGGUGAUCUUCUCUGACUAUUUACUCAAGGUUGAUAUUUGUUUUUUAGUGAAAUGUCUCAACAACUCUAGAAUGUACAGUAUUUCAAUAAAAUCAUGGGCGUAAAUUUCAUCUAACAGUUGGGGUGGGACAAUAAACAUAAAAUUCUCAAGAGCAAUUUUU